rnacentral:rRNA from 1 species
GAUGAACGCUGGCGGCGUGCCUAAUACAUGCAAGUCGAGCGAACAGACGAGGAGCUUGCUCCUCUGACGUUAGCGGCGGACGGGUGAGUAACACGUGGAUAACCUACCUAUAAGACUGGGAUAACUUCGGGAAACCGGAGCUAAUACCGGAUAAUAUAUUGAACCACAUGGUUCAAUAGUGAAAGACGGUUUUGCUGUCACUUAUAGAUGGAUCCGCGCCGCAUUAGCUAGUUGGUAAGGUAACGGCUUACCAAGGCAACGAUGCGUAGCCGACCUGAGAGGGUGAUCGGCCACACUGGAACUGAGACACGGUCCAGACUCCUACGGGAGGCAGCAGUAGGGAAUCUUCCGCAAUGGGCGAAAGCUUGACGGAGCAACGCCGCGUGAGUGAUGAAGGUCUUCGGAUCGUAAAACUCUGUUAUUAGGGAAGAACAAAUGUGUAAGUAACUAUGCACGUCUUGACGGUACCUAAUCAGAAAGCCACGGCUAACUACGUG